GAAGGCUCUGAAAAUGACCCUUCUGUGCUGUUUCUCUCUUCUGCUGGUGGCUGGCUGUCCUUGGCUUGUAGGCACCUCCCUCUAAUCUCUGCCUCUGUCAUCACGUGGCCUUCUUCCGGACACAACUCAACCCACAACAAGGAUAAAACAUGCAGGCCCCGGAGUGACCCAGCCCAAGAGGGCGGUGAGGAUUACAGGAAGGGGGCCUGGGUGGGGUGGGCGGGGCAGGGCAGGCUUCAGGAAGGGGAAGGGCCGGAUGGCGGAUGGCCGGGGAGGCUCCAGGUAUGUGGGGAGGAAGGUGGAGCAUGAGCAAGUGGACGAGUGAAAGACAGCCCAGAGGCGGGAAUGCACAGAGCACACACCGCCACAGGAGAGAGGCGCCAAGGACCUCCUCAGAGCCGCCUUCUAGAACUGGAGAAAACUGCAGGGGGACGACACCCACCUUGUUCCCCGGUGUCUAGAAAAGGAUUCGCUCGGAGGAUGUACUCAAGAAAUAUUCUUUUGAUUAAAAAAAGGCCACCGCGAGAAGAGAGACUCCUGACAGUGACAUCUCAGAGCCUGUCCCUGCAGAGACGCAGACGACCCCCAAGCCCCCACCCCCCAAAAGCCCUUCACGCAACCAGUGUGUCAGGAGGACCGGGCUCCUGUCCCGCCAUGGCUGCUGAGCCGAGGUGAAGCUUGGGUGAGGUGCCUCCCCUGCCCAAGCCUCAGUGGUCCUCCCUGGAAGGCGGAGACAGCAGUGUUCACUUCACACAGCUAACAUGAGAAGGCAGUGUGGCCAGCCGUCCCGAAGCUAGACUCGGGCACUUUGAUUCAGUCUGACAACCUGAGCCCUCUCCCAGGCCCAGGGGGUUCGGGAUGGGCAAGGCAGGCUACGCACUGCCUGCAGGAGGUAUGGACGGUCUGCUGGGGUGGAUUUCAGCGGAUGCUGGGGUCAGGUAAACCCCUUCCCAGGAGGUGGCACAUAAGGGGAGUAGACCGAUGAGGAGGAGUCAGUCAGACAAGGAACGGGAGGACAGUGCUCAGCAAAGGGAAUGGCAUCUUGGAGACUAGAGCUUAGGGCCUAUCCUAGAAGCGGUCUGGUAUGGUUGGAGCGUAGAGAGCAAAGGGGAUGCCAGAACUGAGGCCAGAGGCCCCAUGGACUCCACCUGAAAUAUCGUUGUAUUGGUUGGCAUUUUCUUUGGUUUAAAAUCCAGAUUAUUUC
rnacentral:lncRNA from 1 species